UUUGUAUGGUGAUAUCAUAUUUUAACAUGAUAUAAAAAACAAUAUGACAGAAAGGUACUCAAAAGAAAAAGACUUGUUGUGCUCUAUAAACAGAUAUGAUAUAAAUAAAAUUAUAGAGAAUACAGAAGAAAAUGAUAAAUUUGUAGCAUGCAAUGAUAAUAAUAGCAUAUGUGAAUACCGAAUCCCAUUUCUUCUACCCCCUAUUGAAAACAAUAAAGAUGAAUCAGAAAAGAAUUCAACCGACAAUUAUCUUGAUGAUGGUGCAUCAUCGAUAAUUUCAAAAUAUGAAGAAGAAAAUAAUAUAGAGAAAAAAACAAAAACUAAAGAUCAUAAACGAAGUGAGAGGAUUAAUAUUAUAAUUAUUGAGAAUAAAAAUGGGAUAAAUGAUUUCGAAGAAAUUAUGUCGAUGGCUAAUGGAAAUGACGAAAAUAUAGAAAAGAAAUUAAAUGAUAAAUUUUAUGAAUUAUGUUGUAAAAGCAUUGCAGAUAUAAAUACAUAUAAUUUAAAUAAAACUAAAAAUUUAAAUAAAACUAAAAAUUUAAAGAAAACGCAAGGUUCUUUAAAAAUUGAGCAUAUUGAUUAUGGUGAUAUAUUUUUAACUAUACAUCAUAAUAUGAAGAGUAAACGGGGAGAUAAGAGUAAUAUGUUAAAUGAUCAUGAUUCAUCAAACAAUUGGAAACAUAGAUACAUUUUAGGAAAUUACAGAAAUCACAAAAAAAAAAAAAAAAAAAAAAANNNNNNNNNNNNNNNNNNNNNNNNNNNNNNNNNNNNNNNNNNNNNNNNNNNNNNNNNNNNNNNNNNNNNNNNNNNNNNNNNNNNNNNNNNNNNNNNNNNNAUGUACACAUAAAAAUACAAAAAGUGGAUAUAUAUAUCACAUAAACAAAGAUAAUUAUUUAAAAGGGAAUAUAAACAAAAAAAAUUAUUAUAAUAAUAAUCGUAAACAUUUGAUUAAUUAUAAAAUUGAUAAGGAUAUUGGAAGUGUGCGUAAAAAUGUGACUCAACCAUAUAAUUUGCAAAAAAGAGUAAAUAUGGACGCGUUUAACGCUCGUAAUGAUAAAAGCGGUUGUAGUGGUGGUCGGCGCAUCGGUUGUAGUGAUAGUCGGAGCAUCGGUUGUAGUGAUAGUCGGAGCAUCGGUUGUAGUGAUAGUCGGAGCAUCAGUCGUAAUGAAAAUUACAGUACUAGUGUAAUCGGGUGUGAUGAACUUACAUUGAAAGAUAGAACAUUUUUAAAAAAAAUAUAUAUAAAAAGAAAUAAGAACAAUGAAAGUGGUUUAAUUCGUUUUCCUCGUGAUAAUGAUGAUAAAAUAUAUACAAAUAAAUAUGAUACAGAUAGCGAAAUCCAUUAUGAUAACGUAUUAAACAAAGUUAGACAAAGUACGGAUAAUCAUAAUAAGCACAAUAUGAGUGAUUCUGAAGAAAUGGGAGAAUGUUUGGGUGUAAUUAAAAAUAACAAUACUACUUUUUAUGAAACUUCAAAGUUAAAUAUGAUAGGAAAUAAUAGAAUAAAGUAUAUUGAUGAAAAAAUGCAGGAAGCGAAUGCAAUAAGGUAUUACUCAGAGGUGAAUAAUAAAAAAAAGUGUAUUUUGUAUAAUAAAUGUGGAAGUGAAAAUAUUGGAGGAGGAGGAGGAAGAGGAGUAGAUGAGCAGUCCUAUAUGAAGGAGUACUCAUCUGAGAAUAAUCACCUUUUUAUGGAAGAGUCUCCAUCUGUAAAUAAUCAUACUAGUAGAAUAUUUGAUGAACGAAACGUAGAUACUUUUGCAACAACUUGUGAGGAACCAGUUAUAGUAGAAGUGAUGGAUACUAACUCAUCAGAACCUGUUUUAUCGACAACAAGAAAGAUAAGCGCAAAUGGAAUAUAUGGUGAGAACGUCGUUAAUUACAUUUGCAAUAAAAAAGAAGGAAGCAGUGUAAAUAAAAUUAAUAACUAUUAUGAUGAAGAGGGUGAAGAGGGUGAAGAGGGUGAAGAAGAUGUUGAAAGAGUUGAAAGAGUUGAAAAAGUUGAAAAAGUUGAAAAAGUUGAAAAAGUUGAAAAAGUUGAAAUUGUUGAAAAUAAGUUGAACGGACGUGAUAUAAAUUCAAAGGAAACGUUGCAACCAGUAGUAUUUUCCGCCGAGUGUUCUUCGAAUGGUGUCGUAAAUUUUGAAUACAUAGACACAGGGGGCGAGAAAGAGGACACUAAAGUUAUUGGUGAUGUCGAUAUAAACAACGUGUUAAGUCACACAAAUUUUGAUAAAAAUGAUUCCAGCUUAUUACAUAAAUCGAAAGAGAUAAGUAAAGGUACAAACGAAGGUGGAUACUGUUACAUGAAUGUUGAUAAUAGUGGUAGUAAUGGUAAUAAAACAAAGCAUGACACAGGAGACGAUCAUAUUAGUGAAAAAAAAAAAGAGGAAGUAGUAUCUAAAGACAAUGAAAAAUUAGUUAUAAAAAACAAUAAUGUGAUACAUAUUGAUGAUGAUAAGUGUAAUGGAUCAUUUAAAUUAAGUUCAGAUAGUUUAAAUCAAAAAAGUGAAACUUCAGAUACUUAUCCAUCUAGUAAAGAAGAUAAAGAAUAUUUUAAUUUGUUAUUACAGAAGUAUGAACAAACCAAGUUUACUGUUAAUGAGUUUGAAAACGAAAUCGUUGACAUUAAUAAUUUAUUAAUAGAUGAUGUCAUGUCGGAUAACUUACAAAAACGUUCGAGCAUACCGUUAGGACAUUCACCUAAGAAGGGCGAAAUAACAAAUGUGAUAUUUAAUAAAAAAGAAAAAAACUGUGGUAAUAUAAAUGUACAGGAAGAAAAUUAUGCUACCUUAUUUGAAGUAAAGAAAAGUGAAAAUGUAGAAAAAGUUGAAGAUGUGGAUAAUAAAAAGGUAAAUAUUACUGAAGAGAGGAUAGAAGUAAAUGUGUGCGAAGAGCAAAUUAGUGGCAGUAAGGACAAACUGCAAAGUAAUGGUCAUGAGAACAUACAAGAAAGUAUUGAUAAUAAAGACGAUUUAAGUAAAGGCUUAAACAGUAGUAAGGAGAAACAAGACGAACUAAUAAGUAGGAGUGGAGGAUAUAACAAAUUGUUAAAUGAUGACUUAUACCAUUUAUAUAAUGUAAAAUUUCAUGAUUUGCAAAAUUUAAAAGCAUACGAUUUUGGUUAUUCAAAAAGUUUAUUAAAAAAGGAUAUAUUUAUAUAUAGUAAUAGCUUAAAGAGUGAUGAAGAUGGAGGUGAGGUUGGGGGUGUGUUGUAUAACCGAAUUAGUAAUAAUAUAAAAAAUAAAAAAAAAAAGUUUAUAGAUGAUAACGUAAUAAAUGAAUGUGACACAUGUGGUGAUAAUAAUUUUGAAAUUGAUAAGGAAGCUAGAGAAAUGAACCUAUGUUUGGAACAACUUAAAAAGGAUAUAACAAAUAAAAUAAAAUUAAAUAAAGAAAAUGAUGGAGAAGUAAAUAAUAUAUUAGAUUUUUUAGAUUUAAAUGAAUGUAAUGAUGGUUUUAGUAGUGGUGGGGGGGUAGCAGAUCUGCCACAUAAUAAUGAUUUAUAUAUGAAUAAUGAAAUAAGUGGUGAUGGAAAUAUUAUAGGAAGAGACGAUUUUCCUGACAUAUUUAAGACUGACAAGAAUGGAGAAGAUGGAGAGGGUGGAGAAGGUGGAGA
ensembl:lncRNA